rnacentral:lncRNA from 1 species
CCCUCAGAAACAUCCCCUGCAGCAAAUGCUCCGUGUGCGGGACGGGUUUGUCCCGGCACUUGGGGCUCCCCGGGAUCGUGUGCCAGGGAAUAAAGCCCGCGCCGCGCUCCCAGCUGCGCUGCCGCGGUUCUGUGGGCUGCGCUGGGCUCUGUUUCCCGGGGAGCAGCGGGGUGGGGUCCCUGUGCCACCCCCGGGGGUCGCACGGAGAAGCUGCUCCCGUGGUACGGCCGAGGGUCGGGGGAAACCUGAACAGUCCUGAUGGAAACCGCUGGAAAAACAAGUUUGGCUCGGUUUUGACAUUUUCCCCCGACCCCCACCUGGUCCAGGUGUUUUGCCUUAGGAAACAGGAGCAGGAGACAGAAGGGGGAAUAGAGAAAAAGAUAAUUCAUAACCCCAAAAGGGAUGAGCUUAUUUCUAUUGAUUUCCUGAUGCACCUGGAAUGAUUUGGGUCUCAGGAGGCACCUGGGAGCCUCAUUUUGUGUCCUGGGCGGGCCGUGGUUAUAAAAGGGGUAAAGGUGGAGGAAGGGGGGUCCGGGGGGAGAGGAGCAGUGGUUGGGAUCAGGGGUGCCCUGGGGAUUUGCACCUGGAAGCGGCCGCCAGUUUCCUGAUGGGAGCCCUGGAAACACAGCUCGGAGUCCGUGAGAAAUGCGAAUACUGCAGCUGGAGUGCUGAGAAUGGAGGCUCUGCAGAGAAUGUCGUCUGGGCGGCAUCUGACCCCAGGUCUCGGGGACUGUGUGGAGAUUCCUCCCUGGAGCAGGGUCACCCCGUGAGGAAGAGCCACAGAGGUUCAGUUCUUGGAGCAGGACAGGAGAAAUCAUUAAAUUCCUCCCAUCUUUGCCAGAAGCUUCAGUGUUUAAGCAGCCAGAGCCAAGAGGCUUCAGCACCAGGGGGGUGCACUGGAGGGCUCCUGGUCCUGCCCACGCUGUGGGGGAGCCAGGGCUGGCACAAGGACUCGUGCAGGUGCUGCUCUGGCACUGGAGCUGUUGCCCUGUGGAGCCAUUUUAAAGGUGUGAUUAUGGAACAUUUUGGAGGCUGUUUCUGGAAUUCCAUUUGUAGCUGGAUCUCACUCCGAGUGCAGCAGUCCAGAUGCUGCACUCACCUCUGCAGACAAGCGCUGAGCUCUCACUGCAGGAACCUGUCAGGCCUCGGUGGCUAGCAGAUGCAGCAGCUGCCCUCCAGCCCGGCCAGGAGGGAUCUGCUUUGGCUUCUGCAGGGACAGAACGUGUUCAGCUGCUCCAGGUGACAUUCCAGCAGCCUCAUCCCCCAUCCAGCCCAGCCAGAAGGGAUCUGCUUUGGCUCCUACAGGGACAGAACGUGUUCAGCUGCUCCAGGUGACAUUCCAGCAGCCUCAUCCCCCAUCCAGCCCAGCCAGGAGGGAUCUGCUUUGGCUCCUACAGGGACAGAACGUGUUCAGCUGCUCCAGGUGACAUUCCAGCUGCCUCAUCUCCCAUCCCUGCUCCCGCCCCUCCUGCUCUCAGCUCCUGCCCAGCCAGCUGUGCCGAGGGGAAUUUGUCCCACCAGCAGCAGGGGAAGGACAAGGGCUCCCACCCUGGCACUUGGAUUGUCCCUCUGGGGGAUGCUGGCUGCUGGGAUUUAGAUCAUUCUAUACAUUUGGCUGCUGAAACUUCCUCACCCAGGGGAUUUAGCACAAAGAUUGUUCUCUGCGUGGUGCCUGGAUUUGGGGUUCAGUAUCAGCUUUGCUAGUACAGAUGAAAUAUGCCCACAGCCCCAGGUUCCCUGCUGAAUUCCUGCUGGAAUAACCUGACGGUGCCUCGUGGAUAGUGGAAAUUCCCAGGCAGAGCUGCCACUUUAGCACCAGCUGUGUCAGGAACCAGCAGAGGUUCCAGGGAAGCUCAGUGGGAUCAGGACAAGGACAGGUCUCUAUUCUGUAGAACUUGCUAUUUAAAACCCUCAUCCCCCAGCCCAGGGCUGUGUCUGGAGUCACUUGACAGAGUUCCCUGGAACUCAGCUGAUUUCACCCCCCGGAGCUCAGGCUCCAGCUGAUGUUUUAAAGCAGGACAAGGCGGUGGCUGGAUGCGCUCCCGGCCUGUGCUGAGGCAGAACAUCUCUCCUGCAGAAGCUCCGCUCCUUUCAGAGCCUCAGCAGUGGCCUCUGCAUGUCCUUUUCCCUCAGGAAAGGGAUGCACAUCCCUGCCUGCAGCACACCUCCAGUGGGACCCACCUGUGAGAGUUUUCCAUCACUUCUGCACCUCCAGCUGGCUCCCUGGAAAUCUCCAGACAUCAUUGCACUCGAACCUCUGAUUUUAAGGCAUCUCCGAGGCUAUGGCUUGGCAUUUAGUAUCUGCAAGAAAAGAU